rnacentral:tRNA from 1 species
GGUAGCUCAGUUGGUAGAGCCUCAGACUUAAUCUGGGCAUCCAGGGUUCAAGUUCCUGCC